GACCUAAACUCUAAAAAAUUUUAAUUUUUAGGGCAUGGUCGUAAAUCCUACGCAAAUAAACAAGGUCUUCUGAUCAGUACUUAUUUGCGUAGGUCUAUAGUCGAAAGAUUAUAGGAUAACUUGAAAGAGUUGUC
ncrna:unclassified sequences LOOT RNA